GGGUUGUGAGGUUAAGCGACUAAGCGUACACGGUGGAUGCCCUGGCAGUCAGAGGCGAUGAAGGACGUGCUAAUCUGCGAAAAGCGUCGGUAAGGUGAUAUGAACCGUUAUAACCGGCGAUGUCCGAAUGGGGAAACCCAGUGCAAUUCGUUGCACUAUCGUUAACUGAAUACAUAGGUUAACGAGGCGAACCGGGGGAACUGAAACAUCUAAGUACCCCGAGGAAAAGAAAUCAACCGAGAUUCCCCCAGUAGCGGCGAGCGAACGGGGAGCAGCCCAGAGUCUGAAUCAGCUUGUGUGUUAGUGGAACGGUCUGGAAAGUCCGACGGUACAGGGUGAUAGUCCCGUACACCAAAAUGCACAGGUUGUGAACUCGAAGAGUAGGGCGGGACACGUGGUAUCCUGUCUGAAUAUGGGGGGACCAUCCUCCAAGGCUAAAUACUCCUGACUGACCGAUAGUGAACCAGUACCGUGAGGGAAAGGCGAAAAGAACCCCGGCGAGGGGAGUGAAAAAGAACCUGAAACCGUGUACGUACAAGCAGUGGGAGCACCUUCGGGUGUGACUGCGUACCUUUUGUAUAAUGGGUCAGCGACUUAUAUUCUGUAGCAAGGUUAACCGUAUAGGGGAGCCGCAGGGAAACCGAGUCUUAACUGGGCGUUAAGUUGCAGGGUAUAGACCCGAAACCCGGUGAUCUAGCCAUGGGCAGGUUGAAGGUUGGGUAACACUAACUGGAGGACCGAACCGACUAAUGUUGAAAAAUUAGCGGAUGACUUGUGGCUGGGGGUGAAAGGCCAAUCAAACCGGGAGAUAGCUGGUUCUCCCCGAAAGCUAUUUAGGUAGCGCCUCGUGAACUCAUCUUCGGGGGUAGAGCACUGUUUCGGCUAGGGGGUCAUCCCGACUUACCAACCCGAUGCAAACUACGAAUACCGAAGAAUGUUAUCACGGGAGACACACGGCGGGUGCUAACGUCCGUCGUGAAGAGGGAAACAACCCAGACCGCCAGCUAAGGUCCCAAAGUCAUGGUUAAGUGGGAAACGAUGUGGGAAGGCACAGACAGCCAGGAUGUUGGCUUAGAAGCAGCCAUCAUUUAAAGAAAGCGUAAUAGCUCACUGGUCGAGUCGGCCUGCGCGGAAGAUGUAACGGGGCUAAACCAUGCACCGAAGCUGCGGCAGCGACACUAUGUGUUGUUGGGUAGGGGAGCGUUCUGUAAGCCUGCGAAGGUGACCUGUGAGGGUUGCUGGAGGUAUCAGAAGUGCGAAUGCUGACAUAAGUAACGAUAAAGCGGGUGAAAAGCCCGCUCGCCGGAAGACCAAGGGUUCCUGUCCAACGUUAAUCGGGGCAGGGUGAGUCGACCCCUAAGGCGAGGCCGAAAGGCGUAGUCGAUGGGAAACAGGUUAAUAUUCCUGUACUUGGUGUUACUGCGAAGGGGGGACGGAGAAGGCUAUGUUAGCCGGGCGACGGUUGUCCCGGUUUAAGCAUGUAGGCUGGUUAUCCAGGCAAAUCCGGAUAAUCAAGGCUGAGGUGUGAUGACGAGGCACUACGGUGCUGAAGUAACAAAUGCCCUGCUUCCAGGAAAAGCCUCUAAGCAUCAGGUAACAUCAAAUCGUACCCCAAACCGACACAGGUGGUCAGGUAGAGAAUACCAAGGCGCUUGAGAGAACUCGGGUGAAGGAACUAGGCAAAAUGGUGCCGUAACUUCGGGAGAAGGCACGCUGGUGUGUAGGUGAAGUCCCUGCGGAUGGAGCUGAGACCAGUCGAAGAUACCAGCUGGCUGCAACUGUUUAUUAAAAACACAGCACUGUGCAAACACGAAAGUGGACGUAUACGGUGUGACGCCUGCCCGGUGCCGGAAGGUUAAUUGAUGGGGUUAUCCGUAAGGAGAAGCUCUUGAUCGAAGCCCCGGUAAACGGCGGCCGUAACUAUAACGGUCCUAAGGUAGCGAAAUUCCUUGUCGGGUAAGUUCCGACCUGCACGAAUGGCGUAAUGAUGGCCAGGCUGUCUCCACCCGAGACUCAGUGAAAUUGAACUCGCUGUGAAGAUGCAGUGUACCCGCGGCAAGACGGAAAGACCCCGUGAACCUUUACUAUAGCUUGACACUGAACAUUGAGCCUUGAUGUGUAGGAUAGGUGGGAGGCUUUGAAGCGUGGACGCCAGUCUGCGUGGAGCCAACCUUGAAAUACCACCCUUUAAUGUUUGAUGUUCUAACGUUGGCCCCUGACCGGGGUUGCGGACAGUGUCUGGUGGGUAGUUUGACUGGGGCGGUCUCCUCCCAAAGCGUAACGGAGGAGCACGAAGGUUAGCUAAUCCUGGUCGGACAUCAGGAGGUUAGUGCAAUGGCAUAAGCUAGCUUGACUGCGAGCGUGA
rnacentral:rRNA from 1 species